rnacentral:rRNA from 1 species
UACGUAGGGGGCGAGCGUUAUCCGGAUUUACUGGGCGUAAAGCGCGUUAAGGCGGUCGGCAAAGUUGGUUGUGAAAUUUCAGGGCUCAACCCUGAAACUGCGUCCAAUACUGGUCGACUUGAGUGCGAGAGAGGAAGGUGGAAUUCCCGGUGUAGUAGUGAAAUGCGUAGAUAUCGGGAGGAACACCAGUGGCGAAGGCGGCCUUCUGGCUCGAUACUGACGCUGUAGCGCGAAAGCGUGGGGAGCGAACGGG